AGUGAACGCUGGCGGCAUGCCUAACACAUGCAAGUCGAACGGCAACACGGUAAGAGCUUGCUCCUACGGGUGGCGGGGGGCGGACGAGUGAGGAAUGCAUCGGAUUCUACUUUUUCGUGGAGGAUAACGUAGGGUAAUAUCCGAUACUACCUAAUACUGCAUACGGGUGAACGCAAGGGAUCUUCGGACCUUGCCCGACUGUAGCAGACGAUGUCGGAUUAGCUAGUUGGGGGGGUAAAGGCCCACCAAGGCGACGAUCCGUAGCUGGUCUGAGAGGAUGAUCAGCCACACUGGAACUGAGACACGGUCCAGACUCCUACGGGAGGCAGCAGUGGGGAAUUUUGGACAAUGGGCGCAAGCCUGAUCCAGCCAUGCCGCGUGAGUGAUGAAGGCCUUCGGGUUGUAAAGCCCUUUUGUUGGGAAAGAAAAGAAGCAGGUUAAUACCUGGCUGUCAUGACGGUACCCAAAGAAUAAGCACCGGCUAACUACGUG
rnacentral:rRNA from 1 species